AAAGCAAUACAAUUCAUCAUGAACAGGUAAUUUUAUGUUCUUUUUCUAUUCUUUAUAAAUUUAUGUGGAUUCUAAUUUAGAGUGCAUUACUAUGGAGUAUUUACUGAAUACUCCCUAUGUUUUUAUCGAAUACACAAGUAAAGACUCCGGUUUUCAAAAUUACACAAUUUUAGUUAUUGCACUUUAAUUCUGUUAUAUUAUAAGUCUAACGGUUAAUUUUUAUGUUAAGUGGUUGUGAAAUAUUAGAAAUACUCUUAAAGAUAAUUAUUGUACAUGGAGUAAAGUGUGAAAGAUUAUGAAAAUUUAAUUUAACAACAAAAUAAAGAAUUAUUUAAUUGAUUUCUGAAAUCAUAGAAUAUUCUAAACUACAAAGAGAUUAAAAUGUUUUUUAGUCCCUUUUUAUUAAUAAUUCAGAGUUAUGUGAAUUUUAAAUAUUGUUGUGCAGCUUGAUGAUCAUGAAGUUUGUGGUCUUAGUCCUGAUUGUUGUUGGUUCAGUCUCAUUUACUGUUGAAUCUGAAGCUAAAGAGUUUGCUUCAAAAGAAGGAAGGAAAGAGAAAAUUGGCAAUCUAAAGACCGACUCAAUUGCUUAUAAGGGAAACUAUAGCAUAUAUCCUCCCCAGUUCAAAAAUGGUGUUGCUGUUCCUAAAAGGUUUAGUCCUCCUGAUAGACAUGGUUGAUUAUGUAGAAGGAAAAAUUUUACUGAGACUAAAUCCAUGACCUCAGAAUAAAGUUUCUUAUUGAAAUGAGAGUAUUUUUGAUCAUACACCGGAAAAAAUGAUAAAAUCGGAACACUUCUUAAAAAAUUUUCAUUGUGAUUGAUUUGGUCUAUAAGCGUGGUUAUGAACCCAGUCUAGGUAAGUAAUUUCCUAUGCGGAGAGCUUGUCUUCUACUUUUAGUUACUAUAUACAUAAUAAGAGAUUUGUCAUGUUUUUUUGUUAUUUUUCAUGUAAUUUGUUGAAAAAAAUCAUUGUCAUUUUAAAUCUUUC
rnacentral:lncRNA from 1 species